rfam:Ovis aries breed Texel chromosome 6, whole genome shotgun sequence.
UCCCUGGUGGUCCAGUGGUUAAGACUUUGCGCUCCCAUUGCAGAGGGAACAGGUUCAAUCCCUGGUCAGGGAA